rnacentral:rRNA from 1 species
AAAUUGAAGAGUUUGAUCAUGGCUCAGAUUGAACGCUGGCGGCAGGCCUAACACAUGCAAGUCGAGCGGUAGCACAGAGAGCUUGCUCUCGGGUGACGAGCGGCGGACGGGUGAGUAAUGUCUGGGAAACUGCCUGAUGGAGGGGGAUAACUACUGGAAACGGUAGCUAAUACCGCAUAACGUCGCAAGACCAAAGUGGGGGACCUUCGGGCCUCAUGCCAUCAGAUGUGCCCAGAUGGGAUUAGCUAGUAGGUGGGGUAAUGGCUCACCUAGGCGACGAUCCCUAGCUGGUCUGAGAGGAUGACCAGCCACACUGGAACUGAGACACGGUCCAGACUCCUACGGGAGGCAGCAGUGGGGAAUAUUGCACAAUGGGCGCAAGCCUGAUGCAGCCAUGCCGCGUGUAUGAAGAAGGCCUUCGGGUUGUAAAGUACUUUCAGCGAGGAGGAAGGCGUUAAGGUUAAUAACCUUGGCGAUUGACGUUACUCGCAGAAGAAGCACCGGCUAACUCCGUGCCAGCAGCCGCGGUAAUACGGAGGGUGCAAGCGUUAAUCGGAAUUACUGGGCGUAAAGCGCACGCAGGCGGUCUGUCAAGUCGGAUGUGAAAUCCCCGGGCUCAACCUGGGAACUGCAUUCGAAACUGGCAGGCUAGAGUCUUGUAGAGGGGGGUAGAAUUCCAGGUGUAGCGGUGAAAUGCGUAGAGAUCUGGAGGAAUACCGGUGGCGAAGGCGGCCCCCUGGACAAAGACUGACGCUCAGGUGCGAAAGCGUGGGGAGCAAACAGGAUUAGAUACCCUGGUAGUCCACGCCGUAAACGAUGUCGACUUGGAGGUUGUGCCCUUGAGGCGUGGCUUCCGGAGCUAACGCGUUAAGUCGACCGCCUGGGGAGUACGGCCGCAAGGUUAAAACUCAAAUGAAUUGACGGGGGCCCGCACAAGCGGUGGAGCAUGUGGUUUAAUUCGAUGCAACGCGAAGAACCUUACCUGGUCUUGACAUCCACAGAACUUUCCAGAGAUGGAUUGGUGCCUUCGGGAACUGUGAGACAGGUGCUGCAUGGCUGUCGUCAGCUCGUGUUGUGAAAUGUUGGGUUAAGUCCCGCAACGAGCGCAACCCUUAUCCUUUGUUGCCAGCGGUUAGGCCGGGAACUCAAAGGAGACUGCCAGUGAUAAACUGGAGGAAGGUGGGGAUGACGUCAAGUCAUCAUGGCCCUUACGACCAGGGCUACACACGUGCUACAAUGGCAUAUACAAAGAGAAGCGACCUCGCGAGAGCAAGCGGACCUCAUAAAGUAUGUCGUAGUCCGGAUUGGAGUCUGCAACUCGACUCCAUGAAGUCGGAAUCGCUAGUAAUCGUAGAUCAGAAUGCUACGGUGAAUACGUUCCCGGGCCUUGUACACACCGCCCGUCACACCAUGGGAGUGGGUUGCAAAAGAAGUAGGUAGCUUAACCUUCGGGAGGGCGCUUACCACUUUGUGAUUCAUGACUGGGGUGAAGUCGUAACAAGGUAACCGUAGGGGAACCUGCGGUUGGAUCACCUCCUUA